UGGGCGUUUUGCACGCGAGCAAAGCAGCCGGCCGGGGCGCGAGUACGGGAUUGGUUUUGCAGGCGUGCGCCGGGGCGCCCCCAGGUUGGCGCCUCCUCAGCGCGUGCGCCCUGGGCUAGCUCUGCGCCGCGUCUCCACUCACCUGCCGGCAUCGCUCGGAAGCUCCGCACGGUGUUGCCCUCCCGGAGGUGAAGCAGCUGGGGAGCGCCGGGCGCCGAGUCCUCCGGCCGCCCGCGGGAGCCGCUGUACCUGUCGUAGAGCCGGAGCAUGUGUUCCGAGACCUGGUCCCCGGCCGAGCCCAGCCGGCGGUGCUGAGCUGGCUCACCGGCCGCCUCCGGGCUGCGGCCACCAACGCCGCCGCCGCCGCCGCCACUCGUCCCGGGGCCAAUCUUCCCUAGUCCGCCGCCCAAGCGCUCCCGCGCCGGCUCUCCGGGCGCCACCAGACUCCAACUGAGGCAAAGGUACUGUAUCCACCUGACUUUGAGAGCUAAGAAGGAAAAGCAACAAAAACAACAGAUGUUCCACAGCUGCAGGAGGUUAGACCAAUGACCCACUUUGAAUUCAACCAUAUACAUCUUUUUAGAUUCAGUCCCUAGCAGCAUCUCCAGGUAGAGCUGGGGGAGACUGCUGCCUGAAACAGGCAGGCCGCUGCCUCAGCGCUGCUGCCAAUCAGUGGAAACAAUACUGAGCUAGAUGGACCAGUGGUCUGACUCAGGAUAAGGCAGCUUCCUAUGCUCCUGUGAGAAGCAGCCCCUCGGGCAUACUUUUAGCAAAACAAAACUGCUGUGGAUGCUGACAUUGCCUGGGCAGCUACAACAAGCAAGUGCAAAAAUCUGCCAUCUCUGCUUCCCCUCUUCAUUACAGAAUUGCUCAGGAAAGCGACUGCACAAAUAAACGAAGAGAACACAGAAAGUGGAAUUAUGGAAAUGACUAGCAAAUGGAUGCAUUAUAUGGGUCUUUUUUAAUAUGAUCAUUGCUCUACUAAAACUUCCCAACUGGAGAAAGCCUUACUGUUAAUGCCAAUUGCUGCAGCCUGCUUUCUCCUGAUUUAAGUCUGGUUCACAUGACCAUUUGGCACACAGUGACUGCUGGGAAACCACUUGAAAAUCCUGAAUGGGCUGGCUUCCUGCCGGCAGCCUGAAGUUGUAUGUAGCGGCUGCCAAGCAUAGGAUUAUUCCAUUUCCAUUCGACACUUAACUGGAAGCUGCAGAGAAAGAGGGCUGGAGCAGCGGCAACAGACACCGCCUCUGCAAUUAUUUGCUUUUAUUACACUAACUGGGAGCUCUUUGAACCCUUGACAGAAAGAGAAUUUAAGGCCAAACCCCUUGUUCAGUUGCUAUGUGGAGUUGCAAUUUGCAAAUUUAAAGAUUUGAUUAAAUCUUAUGAAGGCUGUACAAGCUGCCUUCCUUCCCUCUAUUCUUGGUCUUUCUAAAUAUUUUGGAGGAGCUGCCCUUUAUCUGGAAGUUGGAAUGCAAUCUGUUGAAUCCAUGGCUUGACUUAAUGCUUUGAACUUUUGGAUUCAACUGCACUUUUGGACGUUUCUCGGUAUCUAAUUAUCUGCAUAAUGACUCUUAUGUUUCUACCUGGAUGGAGUUUGUAUGGAACCAUUUAUAUGUGCUGGGUUUUUCCCUUGAAAUCUUAAUAUAUCAUAAAAGCUAAAGCCUUAUUGGCCCAAAGGUCUGCAGAUAAUGUGGUCCUUAGCAAACAAAACCUGUUUCCUGGUGUUUUAUGGGGGCAUUCAGGAUUUCAGGAUUGACAGGGCAAAAUAUUUAUCACUGUUGGGUUUUCCUAAAUAUAGACAUACCCUAACAUCAGCUAGAUUUAAUGUUUCACCAUCUUCCUUGCUGUAUGGUAGAUUCCGACAGAUUCCUCUCGAUGAUUGCUCUCACCCCUGUAGGUUGAAUCGGAGGUUCAACUGAGGUUGAAUCUGUCUUAAAUUUGUUCACGUGUACUUGAUGGCACAACUUUACUUUACUUUACUGUUAAAAAGUUGGUUUUACUCUGCGAUUGGACUGAAAUUAUUGUCAGAACAAAAGACAUUCAAACCAGUUAAUACUUUGAGGCUGUUCUCACAACCAGCCUAACACAGUCUGAGGCAGCCCAUCCUGGCUUAGGCUGGUCAUGAGAAGCAGUGGGAUCCUCACAGAUCCUGCUGUUAGCCGAUGUUAAGGGUGCGCUUGCUGCUGAGUAUCGUGUGUCUCCUUGGGCUGAGUUCAGCCUGACGAGACUCGGAGACGGGCGCAUAAAGCGCCCAUCUGAUGGGGGAAUCCCACAAUGCGUGUGCCAUGUGUUGUAUUGUGGGAUGCCCGGAGGCCAGAACAAGAAGUUCCAGCCCCGGAUCCUUCCGCCCUGCUCUGUGCUUCACAGAGCUGUACAGAGCAGGGCUGCUCAUGUGGGAGCACGGAGCACGCUCCCACCACCUUUGCCGUCAUCAUCUCUGGGGAAGGGAAGGCCUACCCUGCCUUCCCCAUCCCCAUCCGCCCACACACAAUGGCAGUUGUGACAAUUGCCACCUUUUUUUUUUACAGCAGGUGAUAGAUAUGCAGUUGAAGCUUUUACUAAUUUUUUUGACUAUGCUGUGAGGAUAAGAGCAGAGAUACGACUCUGUGUUUGCCAGCUUAUAAUUUCCCUUGUUCAUUUAUUUUGUACAUGUUUGUUUACACUGAUCUUAAGUCAGGUCUUGGGGUUUCCACUUGGUAGUUUGCUCUGCUUACUUGAUUGGUACAAAUAUUCAGCAGGCCUCAGAAGCCUUACCAAAAAAAUAUGAAUUAUUCUAUGAUAUGUUCCUCGUAAAUACCAAGUGACAGGCUGAUUGUACAUAAGGGUGGGACAGGCAGAAGUUUCUCUGGCUACCAGUGACUAAAGGAAACUACUUAGGAAGUAUUAGAAGCAGGGAUGUGCACGAACCGGUUCGCAGGCCAUGUUGGAGGCCAUGUUGAACGGACCGUUGCCAGGAGGGGUGUUGCUUUAAGGGCGGGGGGGAUUUACUUACCCCUCCCGCCACUUUCCCCCUCCGACACUCCAGUUUUCGGCAAAAUCUUUGGGGCAGCAGCAGUCCUCCCUGCUGCCCCUGCCCCCUUAUUGUUGGCAAAAUGCGGAAGAACACACGCGCAUGCACCCGCCGCCGCCGCACACAUCACGCACGUCACUGUUUAAAGAUUUAUUUGAAAUGAAUAGCCAAGUCUUUGGUUAUGGGCCUCUCCAUGUCAAAGAGGAUGUUUUAAAGUUGUGUAAAUAAAAUGAAUUCAUAGGUUAUGCUCUGAACUCAGAUACAAGAAGUAGUUCUUGAAAGAACUAAUCGGCCCACUUUCCUUUCACUGUCUCUACAACUGGACUGAACUUGGUCCAGAUCAGUUAGGCAGUUCCCAAGUUAGCCUACUUGCACCUCAAAUAUUCAUGCAUCUGCCAUCUUGCAUUGGUGUAGAUGACAUCACCACAAACUAUGCCUUUGAGGUAUCCCUAUGUGUCCCUACAACAGUAGGGGUGUGCACAGAACUGGCUGGUUCGAUUCGAGUCCAAACUGGACCAGGCCAGUUUGGUCUGGCACCCCUCAACCCACCCGCCCCUGGUCUGGUAGGGGUUUGCAAGCUUUUUUUUUUUUUUAAUUAUCUCCUCCCUGCAACUUACCCCCUCCAGGAGAGUUGUCUGAGGCGGCAAGGGGCAGGGGGAUGGGAUGUCCUUCAGUUCUCAUCAUGGAUGGCCAGUUCAUAGUUUUACUUUAUAAAAUUCAGCAACAAGAAGCACUUGAAUUUAAAUAACGAGAUGCACAAGUAGCACUGUCAAUAUGGCAAAUGGGCAUAUGGGCAUUUCAGAGACCUGGUUUAUGCCAUAAACAUGGCAGCAUGGCCCAGUCCAACUGUCCAGAUUUGCAUGUGUCAUUCAGGAUGGGCAGCACCACACAAGUAUCUUGUUAUUUAAUAUACUUUUAAGCUUACUUUUAAGCAUACUUUUUAAGCCUACUUUCCUUAAGGAAAGUAAGCUUUUGAGAUCACCCAGCGUUGUUUGUGUAUAUGUGUCCCUAUCAACUUCACAAUGCCUGGACCAAUAUGAAACAAAUUUGGUACAGUUGUAGGGAGUGACACAUAGGGACACCUCAACAGCAUAGUCUGCGAUGAUGUCAUGCACCCCAGUUCAAGAUGGCGGAUGCAUGAACAUUUGAGGCACAAGCGGGCUAACUUGUGAACUGUCGAACUGAUUUGAACCAAAUUUAGAACAGUUGUAGGGACACUUCAAAGGCACAGUUUGUGAAAAGGCGGAUUCAUGAACAUUUGAAGCAUAACUGGGCUAACUUCUACAUGAUCCCCCACCACACAUUAAGGUCAUCCAAGGAGGUCCGUCUCCAGUUACCACCAGUUCGUCUGGUGGCGACUCAGAGGCAGGCCUUCUCUGUAGCUGCCCUGGGGCUGUGGGAAUGCACUCUUGGCAGAAAUCCGUAAUCUGAAUUCAUUGCUGGACUUCAGGAGAGCCCUUAAAACCUAUUUUUUGGCCUGGCCUUCCAGGAUCUUUAAUUUGUUGUAAAAAAAAAUUAAAACUGCUGUAAGUGUUUGGCCUGGUUCUCCAGGGAUUUUAACUGUUUAAAUGUUUUAACUGUAAAUUAGUUUUAUGCUGUUUUUAUAGUUUUGAUUUUAACUGUUAAUUUAUUUUAAUUGUUUUUAUUUUGAUGUAAACUGCCCUGAGGGCAGUAUAUAAAUCGAAUAAAUAAAUAAUAAAGAAAGAAAUAAUAAAUAACUUGUAAACCA